AAUAAAAGUGACAUGGAGAAUAAAAAGUUAUCAUAUUUGAAAUUUAUUGACAACUCUGGACAUUCCAAAUCGAGGGCGUAAGGCAUGAAAGUUGUUAUAUUUGCUUUAUUUAGUGUUCCCUUGAAUUACAAGCUUAUAUCAUAAUAACUAGCUUUUUCAUGUCCGAUGCUUUACGGGUACAACUCUUUUGCAAGGCGGAUAAAACUUAUUGUCGAAGACAAUGUAUACAAUGAAGAAAAUGAAUUAAUCAAUUGCUGUAGCAUCAUUUGAAUAUAUAUAUUAAAGUAGAUCAAAUGUGUAUGCAUUUCUUGUGCUGCUGUCUUUGACGUCAAUAGGAGGGGUGGAUUGAAAUUGUCAAAUUGUCACGGAAGACCUCGUAUUAUUACAAUGUAUGCAACAACAUUCUAUACACAUAAAUUUACUGUUUAUUAGAAUUAAAUACAAAUAUAAGUACCACAUACUUCUGAUGCUAAUGCUUGUCGCAUAGUCUUUUUUCCUAAUGAAGAUAAGGCCGCCUUUUGAUUUGAAGACCUUUUUUCACUUGGGUCGGACAGUAUCAAGGGCAAGCACUCUCCUAUUCAGACUCUCCGAAUGUUUACAAAAAUUUAUAUUUAUAGACAGGAUUCAUAAUGGACAGUUUUGAGUUUUGAGUGACAUAUGACAUAUGAUUUACAAGUGGAUUUAAUGAUUGUGAUUUUGAAUAAACAAUAAUUAAGUCACACAAAGUGCAGUCCAUCUGGUCAUAUCAUUCAUGGCUCAUUAAGAUAAUUAAACAUAAUUAAUAAUUAUUAAACAUUUCAAAUUAGAAUAACUCUGACAGAUUGAAGCAAGUAUGACGACUCAUUAAAUUAAUAACAGAUAUAUGUAGAAAUUUUAAUUGAGAAUACGUGUAUAUCAAAAUCAUUUGUCAAAAUAUCCGAUGUUGCAUUUCAUCUGUGAUAUAAGAAUCACCGUCUAGUUAGUAUGAUUUGACAGGGACAACAACAAUAGUCAGUAACGUUGGCUAAUUUAUGCAAUACAUGAUUCGUCUAUCAUUUUUAUUUUAAAUGAGCAUUCUAAAGAUUGUAAACAGUCUGUUCAAUCAAGUAAGAUGUCAUUUUGGUCCCGAAUUUCCGUAAGGCGUUCCUUUCUAUUUGAAGUUUUUUUUAUGAUAUAGACCCGUACUCCCCACAUAUAAUAAACGGUUGCAGAGUGUCUGCUUAUUGAUGUAAUUGAUUUAAAACAUUUCGCUUAGCGAAAUAAGUAAUAAACGUCCUACCUGUACAUUUUUGCAAACUACGAUUCCAGGUUGUUCCAGAACAGCACCCGUCCUCCCUGCUCAAAUAUAUUUUUUGAAGAAAAGAUUCUUUUAAAAUACUAGUCCCCUCUGAGAGAGAGAAAAGGAGCUGAGACAGAAAACGAGCACGAGGCUAUCAUGUUCAGUGUCUUCCGACACAAUAGUCCAGAGAUUGUGUCCUAACGAUACGGAAACCCGUAAUACACGUGCAAAAGAACUUGGUUGUGAAAAUAUCACUAACCAUUGUAAAGAUUCUAAAGAUUUUGUUUACCAUUGUGUUUUGAAUGAGUGGGGUAACGGCUCUUUAGAAAUAUGUGCACCGUCAACAAAAAUUAUAGGACAAUUUUGUGCAGAAUUUAAUUUAGGCGGAGCUAUAGUUCAGGAACACCACAAAACAAAUAGAACCUGCACUUCUUGUCCUUUUGUUUAUAACUCAACUGAGAGUUUUCGUUACAAUGAAUGCUUCAAAGGACUUCCAUCAACACCUACAGGUUCCACAAAACAAAAUAAGCUUCCUAUGUCAAUAGAUCAAUGGAUCGGACCCAUCGUUUUACUUGGUCUUAUUUCCAUCAUCGCUACAACAAUCUUUUGUGUGGUGAGGAAAAGAAUUACAUCACAGAAACAACACAUUCCAUUGUCAGGCAUGAAAGACAACCAGGAUGAGUUUGAUAUGGGAGACGAAUAAAAAAGUUUAGAAUGUGAAAACGAAGUUUUUAAAAUGAAACGAACAUUCGUUUUAAAAAAAGUUGAAUAUUAAUCAGCGAUUUAUGAAGAGAUACUGCAUCCUUUACAUAAAAUGAAUAAUUAAUGCAUACGCCAACAUAGGACAGAAGUGAAUCACAAGAUCCGUUCCUUCGGUCUCUUGGCACACAGAAAUGUCUACCCCGAUAUGUAUACAUGUACAUCAUACUGUUAAUGAUAUAUUAUUCUCCGUAUAUUGGAUGGAUAAAAACCCACAAAGGCCAGAUUUUAUCACUUGUUGAAAAGCAGAUGUUUCGUACCUCUUACCUCUUCCAAGCGGACUAUGACAUAGUUCUGUAAGCUUUGUAUUUAAAUUUCGAGGUAUUUGUAGAGACGUGUAUCUGAAUCGAAAUACCUUAAUUGAUAGAAAUGUGCAAUAUUGUUGAGUGCCAAUAGUUACUUUUGUUUAAUUCAAGAUCGAUAUGUUAUAUUGUGAUACUUUUUAG